UAGUCUACCCCACGGUAUAAACCACGGACCCGCUACGGAUGGGGAGGGAGUAACAGAGUAACGUGCCCACGGUGCACCUCCUUCAAUAGACAAUUCUAUAAAUUAUUAUUUCACGGGUCAGAGAUGGCAGCGCACUAUCACACGCCUGCGCGAACAGAGCGUUACCAGGGGGUCCUGUCAAUCACAGAGCGAACGCGCGUGUGUGUGUGUGUGCACGCGUGUGGGUACAUGUGACCAACCGGAACCUGUGUUUAACAAGGGUCUGAACUUGGACCCUGUUGUAGACGAAAUGCACCCUCUCCAAACCCGUUGGAUUAGCGCCAUGAGACGGGUUGAGAGACAGAAAACCCCGAACUACUAACGACCUACAUACAGGAAUAGACAAGAGUCCUUCAAAAGUGCAUGGACCACAGAACAACGCCAAAAAACAACAACACAACAGUACCCAGACACACUAAGCACCAAUAAAUGAGGACAAUGAUAUGCUUCUUCUGGCUCCUUCUCUGUCUCCAAUAAGAAUCCUUGUCAGGCAGAACCGACACUUUGGAAUGUCUGAUUGGAAAUAAUGGAAGACCACACACACACACACAAAAAAAAAUGCUCGGGACGCUAUUCCAUCUUUACCAGGCCACUGGUUUGAAUUGGCGCAUAUCUCCCGACGUUCAGCGCGUCUUUCACAUCGAGGCGUCUCCACCUAGAAACUAUAACGGGUAAAUAAAGCUCAAUAGAUGGGACAGAAAUCAGACAGCCGCAUCGCAAUUUACCUGGAGCAGGGAGGCAUUCUGACCUGCAUCUCAUAGAGAGACAGAGAGAGAGGGGGACAGAGAGGGGGAGAGACAG